rnacentral:rRNA from 1 species
GAUGAACGCUGGCGGCGUGCCUAAUACAUGCAAGUCGAGCGAACAGACGAGGAGCUUACUCCUCUGACGUUAGCGGCGGACGGGUGAGUAACACGUGGAUAACCUACCUAUAAGACUGGGAUAACUUCGGGAAACCGGAGCUAAUACCGGAUAAUAUAUUGAACCGCAUGGUUCAAUAGUGAAAGACGGUUUUGCUGUCACUUAUAGAUGGAUCCGCGCCGCAUUAGCUAGUUGGUAAGGUAACGGCUUACCAAGGCGACGAUGCGUAGCCGACCUGAGAGGGUGAUCGGCCACACUGGAACUGAGACACGGUCCAGACUCCUACGGGAGGCAGCAGUAGGGAAUCUUCCGCAAUGGGCGAAAGCCUGACGGAGCAACGCCGCGUGAGUGAUGAAGGUCUUCGGAUCGUAAAACUCUGUUAUUAGGGAAGAACAAAUGUGUAAGUAACUAUGCACGUCUUGACGGUACCUAAACAGAAAGCCACGGCUAACUACGUG